AGUUAAAAAGCUCGUAGUCGGAUUUUGGCUGAGAACGGUCGGUCCGCCGUUAGGUGUGCACUGACUGGUCUCAGCUUCCUGGUGAGGAGGUGUGCUUCAUCGCCACUUAGUCACCGUGGUUACUUUGAAAAAAUUAGAGUGUUCAAAGCGGGCUUACGCUUGAAUAUAUUAGCAUGGAAUAACACCAUAGGACUCCUGUCCUAUUUCGUUGGUCUCGGGACGGGAGUAAUGAUUAAGAGGAACAGUUGGGGGCAUUCGUAUUUCAUUGUCAGAGGUGAAAUUCUUGGAUUUAUGAAAGACGAACUUCUGCGAAAGCAUUUGCCAAGGAUGUUUUCAUUGAUCAAGAACGAAAGUUGGGGGCUCGAAGAUGAUUAGAUACCAUCCUAGUCUCAACCAUAAACGAUGCCGGCUAGGGAUUGGCGGAUGUUAAUUGAUGACUUCGCCAGCACCUUAUGAGAAAUCAAAGUUUUUGGGUUCCGGGGGGAGUAUGGUCGCAAGGCUGAAACUUAAAGGAAUUGACGGAAGGGCACCACCAGGCGUGGAGCCUGCGGCUUAAUUUGACUCAACACGGGGAAACUUACCAGGUCCAGACAUAGUAAGGAUUGACAGAUUGAGAGCUCUUUCUUGAUUCUAUGGGUGGUGGUUCAUGGCCGU
rnacentral:rRNA from 1 species